AUGAUGCCCAGCUUGCUGGGUGGAUUAGUGGCGAACGGGUGAGUAACACGUGAGUAACCUGCCCCUGACUCUGGGAUAAGCGUUGGAAACGACGUCUAAUACUGGAUAUGACUGCCGGCCGCAUGGUCUGGUGGUGGAAAGAUUUUUUGGUUGGGGAUGGACUCGCGGCCUAUCAGCUUGUUGGUGAGGUAAUGGCUCACCAAGGCGACGACGGGUAGCCGGCCUGAGAGGGUGACCGGCCACACUGGGACUGAGACACGGCCCAGACUCCUACGGGAGGCAGCAGUGGGGAAUAUUGCACAAUGGGCGAAAGCCUGAUGCAGCAACGCCGCGUGAGGGAUGACGGCCUUCGGGUUGUAAACCUCUUUUACUAGGGAAGAAGCGUAAGUGACGGUACCUGCAGAAAAAGCACCGGCUAA
rnacentral:rRNA from 1 species